AGGAUGAACGCUGGCGGCGUGCUUAACACAUGCAAGUCGAACGAUGAAGCCGGAGCUUGCUCUGGUGGAUUAGUGGCGAACGGGUGAGUAACACGUGAGUAACCUGCCCUUGACUCUGGGAUAAGCGUUGGAAACGACGUCUAAUACCGGAUACGACGCGCGAAGGCAUCUUCUGCGCGUGGAAAGAAUUUCGGUCAAGGAUGGACUCGCGGCCUAUCAGCUAGUUGGUGAGGUAACGGCCCACCAAGGCGACGACGGGUAGCCGGCCUGAGAGGGUGACCGGCCACACUGGGACUGAGACACGGCCCAGACUCCUACGGGAGGCAGCAGUGGGGAAUAUUGCACAAGUGGCGCAAGCCUGAUGCAGCAACGCCGCGUGAGGGACGACGGCCUUCGGUUGUAACCUCGUUUUAGAGGAAGAAGCGAAGUGACGGUACUGACAGAAAAGCGACGACUAACUACGUGCCGAGACGAGCCCGGAC
rnacentral:rRNA from 1 species